GAUCCUGGCUCAGGACGAACGCUGGCGGCGUGCCUAACACAUGCAAGUCGAACGGAACUGUUUUGAAAGAUUUCUUCGGAAUGAAUUUGAUUUAGUUUAGUGGCGGACGGGUGAGUAACGCGUGAGUAACCUGCCUUCAAGAGGGGGAUAACAUUCUGAAAAGAAUGCUAAUACCGCAUGACAUAUCGGAACCACAUGGUUCUGAUAUCAAAGAUUUUAUCGCUUGAAGAUGGACUCGCGUCCGAUUAG
rnacentral:rRNA from 1 species